rnacentral:rRNA from 1 species
UACAGGGGGGGCAAGCGUUGUUCGGAAUUACUGGGCGUAAAGGGUUCGUAGGUGGCCACUUAAGUCAGACGUGAAAUCCCUCAGCUUAACUGGGGAACUGCGUCUGAUACUGAGUGGCUUGAGUGCAGGAGAGGAAUGCGGAAUUCUAGGUGUAGCGGUGAAAUGCGUAGAUAUCUGGAGGAACACCGGUGGCGAAGGCGGCAUUCUGGACUGUAACUGACACUGAGGAACGAAAGCCAGGGGAGCAAACGGG